GAUGAACGCUGGCGGCGUGCCUAAUACAUGCAAGUCGAGCGAACGGACGAGAAGCUUGCUUUUCUGAUGUUAGCGGCGGACGGGUGAGUAACACGUGGAUAACCUACCUAUAAGACUGGGAUAACUUCGGGAAACCGGAGCUAAUACCGGAUAAUAUUUUGAACCGCAUGGUUCAAAAGUGAAAGACGGUCUUGCUGUCACUUAUAGAUGGAUCCGCGCUGCAUUAGCUAGUUGGUAAGGUAACGGCUUACCAAGGCAACGAUGCAUAGCCGACCUGAGAGGGUGAUAGGCCACACUGGAACUGAGACACGGUCAAGACUCCUAAGGGAGGCAGCAGUAGGGAAUCUUCCGCAAUGGGCGAAAGCCUGACGGAGCAACGCCGCGUGAGUGAUGAAGGUCUUCGGAUCGUAAAACUCUGUUAUUAGGGAAGAACAUAUGUGUAAGUAACUGUGCACAUCUUGACGGUACCUAAUCAGAAAGCCACGGCUAACUACGUG
rnacentral:rRNA from 1 species